GUGGGAGUAGAGAGGUGGAGGUGGAGGGGGAGUGUAUACACUGUCAGGGUGGGAGUAGAGAGGUGGGGGUGGAGGGGGAGUGUAUACACUGUCAGGGUGGGAGUAGAGAGGUGGAGGUGGAGGGGGAGUGUAUACACUGUCAGGGUGGGAGUAGAGAGGUGGGGGUGGAGGGGGAGUGUAUACACUGUCAGGGUUGGAGUAGAGAGGUGGAGGUGGAGGUGGAGGGGGAGUGUAUACACUGUCAGGGUGGGAGUAGAGAGGUGGAGGUGGAGGGGGAGGGGGAGUGUAUACACUGUCAGGGUGGGAGUAGAGAGGUGGAGGUGGAGGGGGAGUGUAUACACUGUCAGGGUGGGAGUAGAGAGGUGGAGGGGGAGUGUAUACACUGUCA
rnacentral:lncRNA from 1 species